rnacentral:rRNA from 1 species
AGCGAACGCUGGCGGCAGGCUUAACACAUGCAAGUCGAACGGGCAUCUUCGGAUGUCAGUGGCAGACGGGUGCGUAACACGUGGGAACGUACCCUUCGGUUCGGAAUAACUCAGGGAAACUUGAGCUAAUACCGGAUACGCCCUUUUGGGGAAAGGUUUACUGCCGAAGGAUCGGCCCGCGUCCGAUUAGCUUGUUGGUGGGGUAACGGCCUACCAAGGCGACGAUCAGUAGCUGGUCUGAGAGGAUGCUCAGCCACACUGGGACUGAGACACGGCCCAGACUCCUACGGGAGGCAGCAGUGGGGAAUAUUGGACAAUGGGCGCAAGCCUGAUCCAGCCAUGCCGCGUGAGUGAUGAAGGCCUUAGGGUUGUAAAGCUCUUUUGUCCGGGACGAUAAUGACGGUACCGGAAGAAUAAGCCCCGGCUAACUUCGUG